CCUACGGGAGGCAGCAGUGGGGAAUUUUGGACAAUGGGGGAAACCCUGAUCCAGCCAUUCCGCGUGAGUGAAGAAGGCCUUCGGGUUGUAAAGCUCUUUCGGCAGGGACGAAACGGCGGACUCUAACAUAGUCUGUCAAUGACGGUACCUGAAGAAGAAGCACCGGCUAACUACGUGCCAGCAGCCGCGGUAAUACGUAGGGUGCGAGCGUUAAUCGGAAUUACUGGGCGUAUAGCGUGCGCAGGCGGCUUUGUAAGACGGGGGUGAAAUCCGUGGGCUUAACCGGGGAACUGCGUUGGUGACUGCAAGGCUAGAGUGCGGCAGAGGGGGGUGGAAUUCCUGGUGUAGCAGUGAAAUGCGUAGAGAUCAGGAGGAACACCGAUGGCGAAGGCGGCCCCCUGGGUUGGCACUGACGCUGAGGCACGAAAGCGUGGGGAGCAAACAGGAUUAGAUACCCCGGUAGU
rnacentral:rRNA from 1 species